rnacentral:rRNA from 1 species
GUGGGUAACCUGCCUUAUACAGGGGGAUAACAGUCAGAAAUGGCUGCUAAUACCGCAUAAGCGCACAGAGCUGCAUGGCUCAGUGUGAAAAACUCCGGUGGUAUAAGAUGGACCCGCGUUGGAUUAGCUAGUUGGUGGGGUAACGGCCCACCAAGGCGACGAUCCAUAGCCGGCCUGAGAGGGUGAACGGCCACAUUGGGACUGAGACACGGCCCAGACUCCUACGGGAGGCAGCAGUGGGGAAUAUUGCACAAUGGGGGAAACCCUGAUGCAGCGACGCCGCGUGAAGGAAGAAGUAUCUCGGUAUGUAAACUUCUAUCAGCAGGGAAGAUAGUGACGGUACCUGACUAAGAAGCCCCGGCUAACUACGUGCCAGCAGCCGCGGUAAUACGUAGGGGGCAAGCGUUAUCCGGAUUUACUGGGUGUAAAGGGAGCGUAGACGGUGUGGCAAGUCUGAUGUGAAAGGCAUGGGCUCAACCUGUGGACUGCAUUGGAAACUGUCAUACUUGAGUGCCGGAGGGGUAAGCGGAAUUCCUAGUGUAGCGGUGAAAUGCGUAGAUAUUAGGAGGA